UGCCUGUGUUUAUAUUAAUAAUAAUAAUAUGUGUAUUUAUAAUGCGCUGAAUUCCACACACAAGGCAUGCUCAAAGCGCUACAUAUUUACAAAUAUUUACAAAGCAAAGUUUAUGCUAGAACGAGGCUGAAAUUUUUGAAAAGUUAAGUUAUAGAUUGUAAUAUUUUCUGAAAAGAUGG